rnacentral:rRNA from 1 species
AUUGAACGCUGGCGGCAGGCCUAACACAUGCAAGUCGAACGAGUGGCGGACGGGUGAGUAAUGUCUGGGAAUCUGCCAGAUGGAGGGGGAUAACUACUGGAAACGGUAGCUAAUACCGCAUACCAUCGGAUGUGCACAGAUGGGAUUAGCUUGUAGGUGAGGUAACGGCGCACCUAGGCGACGAUCCCUAGCUGGUCUGAGAGGAUGACCAGCCACACUGGAACUGAGACACGGUCCAGACUCCUACGGGAGGCAGAAGUGGGGAAUAUUGCACAAUGGGCGCAAGCCUGAUGCAGCCAUGCCGCGUGUAUGAAGAAGGCCUUCGGGUUGUAAAGUACUUUCAGUGGGGAGGCGUUACUCACAGAAGAAGCACCGGCUAACUCCGUGCCAGCAGCCGCGGUAAUUC